UACGUAGGGUGCGAGCGUUAAUCGGAAUUACUGGGCGUAAAGCGUGCGCAGGCGGCGCCGCAAGUCGGGUGUGAAAUCCCCGAGCUUAACUUGGGAAUUGCGCUCGAAACUACGGUGCUGGAGUGUGGCAGAGGGAGGUGGAAUUCCACGUGUAGCGGUGAAAUGCGUAGAGAUGUGGAGGAACACCGAUGGCGAAGGCAGCCUCCUGGGCCAACACUGACGCUCAUGCACGAAAGCGUGGGGAGCAAACAGG
rnacentral:rRNA from 1 species